rnacentral:rRNA from 1 species
GACAGAGGGUGCAAACGUUGUUCGGAAUUACUGGGCGUAAAGCGCGUGUAGGCGGCUCGGCAAGUCGGAUGUGAAAGCCCUGGGCUCAACCUAGGAAGUGCAUUCGAAACUGCAGAGCUUGAGUUCUGGAGAGGAAGGCGGAAUUCUCGGUGUAGAGGUGAAAUUCGUAGAUAUCGAGAGGAACACCUGUGGCGAAGGCGGCCUUCUGGACAGUGACUGACGCUGAGACGCGAAAGCGUGGGGAGCAAACAGG